CGUACGAUCGGGAGCAGGGCGUUCGGUUUUACCGCGGCACGGAAACAACCGAUAGCAACGAUUGUGAUUGUGAAGAUAUUUAGAUAAGUCGCGCCCCUCCUUCCGAUCCCCAGCUCCCCCCCCCCCCCCCCCACUCCCUGUUCGUACACAGCUAGAAGCAGUAGGUAGCUACAAACUCCCCCAUCACCCCCUCACCCUAGACAGGACCAAUAGUACACAUGCACACCCGGCAACCUGCGUAAUGCCGGACAGCAACGCAUGCUUACGGGGUAAGUCUAACCAAUCUGCCAGCGUGCACGUGGUUAUAAGUGUGAUGUUGCAAAAGAUGAAACCGGACACAGCAGAACAUGGUGAAAAUGAUUGUGCAUGAGCGAUGUAUGUGUGUGUGUGUAUGUCUGCCUUGGCGUACGUUCCUUUGUGAUUCCAGGUGAUGAUGCGAUAGGCUAAUAUCAGGCAAACAUUAUAUUCAAACCCCAGAACAAACCAACAGUGCGAAACGGUGCGGUAGUAUCAGCUGUGCGAAUAGUAGAAGUGAUGAGUGUUAUCCCCUUUUUAAAAUAGGAAAUUAAACCCAUUUUGCGUAAAGUAGUGUGGUAAGGUAAGCUAAGUUAGUCAUGUUAAAAGAAAACAACAACAACAGACGGUAACAAACACGUGCCAUUGAGGGGUAUGUAUGAGUGUGUGUACACUAAGGGUUUUGGGGCAUGCCGAAACAUACUGAGCCAUUGUUAUCAUUCUCAUACACCUUACCCUUUAGAUGCUGGUAGAAGCUAGAGCAAGCAUUAGCUUGUUUCAACUGUUCCAUCUGGAUGCUUGUAAGCUGCCAGUUUGCCAGAGAAACUGGCACUGAAGCGAUGGAGACGCACGGUACUUUACUAGUACCCAUAAAUGUUUCUAAACUAUGGCUUGAUCGUGAACGAAUUGUCCGUGGAAAUGACUUUAAACAACACAAAACGCCCUCCCGACAGUAACACUAAAGAUGGUUUGACCAAUGACGUUUGACGACAGGACACGCCUUCCAUGCACUUCCACCUUGGGUUGGUAAAUAAAGAGAUAUUUCUUAGAGCAACUAUGGUAAAAAAAUCAAAACGGCAGUCCUCUCUAAAGUUUCUCUACACUUUUGCCGAACGUACACAUAAAAUACUUCGCUCGACGGCGUGUGGUCUGGCCUCUUUUUUUAAAGAAUGUACUACUACUUCGGUAGCUUUCUUUAACUGUUCAGGCAAGCUAAGCUAAUAAUAAUGUGCUUUCCACCACUUAAACAAAUGGUUUGAAUAGCUAACAAAAAAAAUAUAAUAAAGGCAACUUUGCGCCAGAUACGAAAACAAUUUACGUCACCACGAUAAAAUGAGAGAAUAAUUCAGGUCAGCAUCUUCUGGGAAGCACGGCACCGGCACGGUGUACCAGCGGACGAGCAGACAUUAGCAACUUUGCCAUCUUUUCCGGCCUCUUUUUAGUCAGUUGCCUCACUUCCGGUGGCGAACUGACCAUUCGCUACACUCGUGGCUGCAGGCGCCACGGGUUCCCGGCUCGUCCUGUGCCCGUUCGACGUGGGCGGAAUACAAAUUGAAAUAAUCUAAUCCUCACAGCGAUAUGCUGGACCGAAUGGCCGCAGAAUGUUGCACACGAAAAAAGUGCACUCACUGUCCCUCCGUCUCUCACCUACUUCUUCUCGCUCUUUCUCCCUCACUUACACACACACACACACGCAUCAGUUGUGGUUUUAAAGCAAAAUGUAAAAAAACAGCAUUUGCCGGAAGGAUUUGAUUCUUUUUUUUUUUGUUCCUUUUGCUGGGGAUGUUUGCGAAGUGAGACACACAUAACGAAGACCAACUACGGAACAGUAACCUUCCGGUCGGUAUUCCAGUUCCAGGCUGGAUGGUACUGCUAGCCCCAGGCACUUAAAUGCUUCUGAGCGAUAAAACGAAUGUGCAAGAUGCAGAAAAGGAUAAUUGUUCAUUGAGCCCUUUAUCAUAUAAUUAGGCAUAUGUGUAUGUGUGUAUAUGUGAGUGUGUUUGUGUGUCUGUGUCCGAUGGUACUGUAGCUGAAGGCGCUGUGUAAAAAUCCUUUGUGGGAUAUUUUCUCACACGGGCUCCGUGACAUCAAACACAUUGCUGCUGCCAACCUCGUUAUAUGGUAUACGAUGAAAACAAUGUAGUAUUUCCUUUCCUCUAAUCUGAGCUCAUUCGCGUUAUCGAUUCGAAGCAAUUCGGUGAGAUGCACCUUUUACCGAACGGAAGUAUUGGCCCCCUUUUGGUUGUAGAUAACUAUAAAUUAGAAUAGUACAAGAAAAGCAGUAACUGCAUGGCGUUGCCACUGCGGGCAUUCGGCCAACAAGGAGCAAGAAAUCGUGCUCGGAGCUCGUGGUUGGUGAUUUCUGAUUAUUGAUACAUAAUAGAUCUGUAAUCGACCGUUGUGUACAGUAUACUUGGCACAUUAAACACGGUGAUAUUAUGCGCUUUAAAAUAUAACGAUAGAAAUACAGAACAAUAUAUGGUAAGAAGCUCAUCGUCAUAGAUAUUGGUGGUAAGGAUGUAGGAGGUGGUUCUAGCGGCUAAGCGAUAGGAAGCAGGAAAGAUAACUUCUCUCUGCUGUCUGCUUUCAUAGUAUGCAUGAUUCUUCACCUUGCAGAUAUUCAAAACAAGCAACUAUCUAUUUAUUUAACUAUUGUUGUUCUAUCAUUUCGUCGAAAAUUUAACAUAGCAAACACUCUAUGCCCGUUUGAUACGUCUGUCAAUACAAUGACAAUGAUAAAUUCAAAGUCAAUGCGACAUGCACUACGUUUAAAACACGGAUUCGAAUCGAAUGUUCGAUAAAAUAAUGGAAUUCUUUGCUUAUAUAUUGUUUUGAGCAUUAGAUCCAGACAUAAACAAUGUGUUGCACAUAUUAGUUAUUGUUAUUGCAAUGUGUUUUUGUUAUUUUCAUCCAAAUUUAUUCCAAUGAGUAAAGCAAAUACACAUUUAUUUAUCUUCUAAAUAUUUAUCGAACUUUGCGUUUGAGAUUCAAUUCUUACUGAAUUAAUUUUAACACAAUCUGCAUUAUUUUGGUUCGGGAAGUACAUUUACGUGGAGUACAUACUUUCAGUUUAAAUUAAACAAAACAUUACAACCUACCACAGACGUAACACUAGCAUGGAUUUAAUUUUCUAUUAUGUACCACCACUGAAUGGAAGGCGCUUGUUUAAUGUUUACUGAAUAGAAGGCGCACAUUUAAUAAGAUUGCUAUGUUUCAGGGGCAUUUGUCGCUGUCGGAAACUAUAUUUUUCAGCGUUUCUGAGAUUGUUACUUUUUUCAAUCCCAUGAAACAUGGAGCCUUUGUCGUUCAUAUUUUUUGCUACUACUCUUGUUGCACUAUUUUAAAAGGGUUAGCGUUAUGCUUUGUAUUCGAAACAUAUAACGCUUUAGAAAAACAAACAAAUAAAGUUCUGCUUUACAUACUUUUUGCGUUUUAGAUUGCGCUAUCGUUUUCAAAUGUAUGUGUUACAUAAUGCAAUUAAAACCAUGCUAAACCCAUUCAAACAUCAGCACUUUGUAGAUCAUACUACCUACCACAACUAAAGAAUGAUUAAAAAACAAAGCUUCCCUUUUGAAAUGGUUUUCAUUUUUAUACAUAAAAUUCGCAACCUGAUGUGUUUAAACAGAAUGGACGCGAAGCUGCUUCAUCUAAACGCGACGGUAACGGACCUAACGUAAAGAUUUCCAAACCCGAACCGGUACCAUACCAGCUCGCUGGUUGGUGUAUCGUUCGACAUAUGUAAUUAUCCGAAUCAAAACUGCAUCAACUCAGCGAGCGCUACUACGCUACGCAAUUGUUUGGUUUCCACUGUUGACGUACUGAUAUAAUGUUGCUCCCUUUCAUAUCGUACCAUCGUGGUACAAUAGUCAUACAGUGAUAAGAUAAUUAUACCGAUAGCACAUAGAAAUAUACGCAUUAAGAGACUAAGAAGUUAGUAUGUAUAUCAAUAUAUAGCGAACCAAAUGUGAACUGAGUAUGGGAAGAAGAUGGUAGUCACGUUGACGAUAUGCAGUUGCUAGCUCGGUACUUCUUCUGCUAUACAGAGCUUACUUGUGUAACAGUUAGACGAAUGUGUUGGUUUAACAGUUGUUUUAUGUGCAUUGUUUUUAAUUAAUAUAUCGUACAAAUAAUUAUAGGUAUGGAAGAACUUCGUUUUUCGAUUGCUUUAGAUUGAUUGAACAGAGCUACAGAACUACAUAGCAUAACUACAAAUAGAACUACAUAAAUAAACGGAGCUUUAAACAGCUUUAACAUAAUUUAAUACACUCUUUUCUAAUUCAGGUAAUAUUAACCAAAGUCGUCGAAUAAGCUUGAGCAUGAACGAAGAAAACCAGCUAACAACUCACACCGUGCAAUCGUGACACACGUUUGCUUCAAUGACCUAUUGAAGCAAACAUGAAAAAAGACAAACAUAAAAUUGCUUUGGAAGAUUGCUUUAAACAAUUGUACAUAAUUUUGAAACAAUUCAAACAAAACGAACGAAAAUCGAUCAACAGAGUAACAAACUAAAUACAAUAACACAACUAAGGUAGAUCACGGCACGACCGUAGCGUGUUGAUUGCGAAUGGGGUGUGGCUCGAAUUCAAACAUAAAAAUAGGAGAUUGAAUGCAAGAAGCGUAACGGCACGGCAACGGAGCACAGUCUCUGCCAAGAAAACUGUGCGUCAGAAGGAAAGCUCCGUUACGAUACGGGCAGGGUGGUGGUUUUUAACUGUAAAAGAUAACAUACUUUACCGCCUCCGCUUUUCACUGCAAUGCGGGGCAAAAUCGACGUAAAAACAAUAUCAACCCUGUUUGCAGCGUAUGUGUGCGAUGCUUUUCAAUUUCACCCUUUUCCAUCCCGGUUACCCGGUGAAAAGUUUCAACCUCCUAUCAUUUAACACCCUAUCUCGGGAAACGGGAAACCCCGCUUUGUGUAACAUAACCAUCAAAAAGCAAGCUUCCUGUCGGGAAGGGAUUUUUUACACGCUGGGUUGUUUUGUCUGUUAUCAGAUUUCUUCUUAACACUUGUAAAGUGUAUUAACAUAUGGGACCUUCCCCAUCCUGCCAUUUGCUCGCUGAGAAUUUACGAACUUAGCUCCAUAUUACCCCCCACAUUAUCUGGUGUGCUAAAUUGCUACCGUGUCACUUAGAUACGUGCGACGGUACGAUGAAAGCUCGGACAGACAGUUUGCCUGCGGGCUUUAAUAUAACCAACCAAACACACAUACACCCAUACCAUACUGUUGUUCCUAUACAUUUAACAUCGUUACAGAUUCUGCUAGCAAACAAAAAUCCUCCUACCACACAAUAUCCUUCGCAAAAAGUAAGAAUAGAAAAUGAAGCUAUACACAGCACACAAACCCGAGCAUUAACAUAGAAAUUAACGCAUUAGAAAUAUUGACAACGUGCCUUAAGAUAUAUUUUGUGUUUUUGUUGUCGCUCGCUCCAUCGGGUGCAAGUGUAGGGAGUGGUGCAAAUAGUGGGGAAAUCUAUUUUUGAUAACUAAAAGCAUAAAAAGAGCAGAGCAAAUCCCUGCAACAAUUGAGGUAUACCAUUACGACCGUGGUACGGUGGUAUGCAGGGUGAGCCUGCGGGCUCAUGUGGGUUUUGUAUGGAUAUUAAGCAUCCCAGUAAGUGUGGAAAGCGAAUGAAAAAGGCGACAACAAAGCACGGAAUCAUUAACAAGAAACCUACUACUCAUGGUUAUGUGUUUCAUAUGGCCGGCAUAAAAAAGCUAGCCGUAAGGAUCUUCCUGUACGGCUUGAGCCAACCGUCGGAAGGAUGUACCAAAUAAUGCUCACAAACAACUCAAUGCAUGCUCCUGGGGGUGUUGAAUGUUUAGAAAGCGUGCUGUGUUACAACACAGUUUUAUGUAUCUGUUAAUCCAUUUCACAAAUUGCACAGCUGCGUUUAAUGUUUAAUGCUUUGCUAUCUGGUUUUACACAAAACUUUCAAUUGAAAACCCAAAAUCUCUUAUACCUUUGCUUUAGAAAUCCACCUCUUUACUCGCUUCUGUUCCAAACACAACCGUUUAUCCUCCAUCAUGGUUCAUUACCACAGAAACGACAGAAAGAUAUGAAAAAACGCUAGAAUAACGAAACUAAACAAUACACCACGUAUUACCUAAAAGGCUUCCAUAUAAGUGUGUUGUCCCCCGGAGAUCAUACGACCGUCGGUUUGUAAAUAUUUGUUUAGAGAGGAAUGCUUUGUAAAUAUGUAGGCGCAGAUAACAUCCACCAACAAUCUCCCAAAAACAAACCGACCACAAAGACAUAUAAAUCCUGCAUAGUCAAGAUUUCCUUUCUCCAAUGUGUGUUAUGUAUGUGUGUAUGUGUGUGCACAAAUAUACCAAAUAUACUAAGGUGGAAGUGCAAAGAAGGUCCAAUGUAGGUGGAAAACUAAGCGGAUUUAACGAAUAAACUUAGCCAUCGCCAGCACACAACCACAUCGACACACAACUACUACACAACACAAAACAAGAUUCUGAAAUUCAAAAGGGACGUACUUCAGACCACGAAGUAGCAGGUGAACAAGACGCACAGGAAUGUACUUGUAAGGGACAGUGGGGGGGGGGGG